UCGGUUGCUUCGAGUCACGGGGUGUACCAUCUUCUCGGCAGCAAGGGAAUUCUUCAGGAGAACAGCUGUUUCGGGAUUUCUGCCUGUUUAUACAGGCUUCCCACUUUGCAGCUUUAACUAAUGGGGCAAAGCAAGACACGGGUUAUCUUGGUGUCACCUGGAGUACUGAUUACUUUCCAGUGGGGUCUCGUCACUGGGCCUUUAAGGCGACUAGCAUGAGUCCAUCCACGCUCAGCAGUUCGGACAGCUGUUUCUGUUGUAAGCAAAACAAGAUAAGGUCCCUCCCAAUUGGGUUUUAGGGUUUCUUCCUUCCACACUUUGAUCAAUAUCCAAUCCCCAGGUUUAACAUUGUGAAUUUUUAAGUCCAACGGGGGUCGUUGCACAAUCAGUCCAUGUUCCCAAAGCUUGUUACGAUGUUCUGCUAAUUGUGAAACAUAUUCAUUAAUUACACGGUCUCGAAUUAAAACAUUUGUUUGUGGACUUUCAAUUCUAUAAGACAUUCCAUACACCAUUUCAAACGCUGAUAUUCCUAUGUCUGCUCAGGGUCUGGUUCUGAGAAUUAAUAGUGCCAUGGGUAGGCACUUAAUCCAUGAUAAUUUGGUUUCUAUUAUUAAUUUAGUCAAAAUAGCUUUGAUUUCUCCAUUUAUCCUUUCAACUUUUCCCGAACUUUGUGGAUGCCAUGGUGUAUGGUAUUCCCACUUAAUACCCAAGCUUUCUGUUAGAUCUCUAACAAUUUUUGACACAAAGUGUGUUCCUCUGUCCGAGUCGAUUACUUCAGGUACUCCAUAUCGAGGUAUAAUGUGUUCAAGUAACACUUUAGUAACUUGGUUAGCAGUUGCCCUGGAGGUAGGAAAAGCCUCAACAUAAUGUGUUAAAUGAUCCACCAUUACUAAUAAAUAUUUGUAACGCCCUACCCUA